CUACUAGGGUUUCUAAUCCUGUUCGCUCCCCAUGCUUUCGCUCCUCAGCGUCAGUAACAGCCCAGUAACCUGCCUUCGCCAUCGGUGUUCCUCCUGAUAUCUGCGCAUUUCACCGCUACACCAGGAAUUCCAGUUACCCCUACUGCACUCUAGCCUGCCCGUACCCACUGCACACCCGGAGUUAAGCCCCGGGCUUUCACAGCAGACGCGACAAGCCGCCUACGAGCUCUUUACGCCCAAUAAUUCCGGACAACGCUUGCGCCCUACGUAUUACCGCGGCUGCUGGCAC
rnacentral:rRNA from 1 species